UGGGGUGCAGCUCAGCGGCAGAGCGCUCACCUGGCAUGUGCAAGGUCCUGGGUUCAAUCCCAGCACAGCAA
rnacentral:tRNA from 1 species